AUAGGCUCGGCCAGACUACAGUUCCCGACAUGCCUUACUUCUCCUGUGAGAGGCCCAGCAGGGAGGACUCCAUGUCCCAACAUGCACCGCGGCACUGAGGGAGAGGGGGCGGUGCCAGCGGCGGGCGGAGGCGGCUCAGAGGCACUCAGCGCAGAGACACGGAGGAGGAGAGGGGAGAACGGCGCUGAGACCGGGGAUAUACCGAACAGACAGCCACAGCGCCACGAACAUAUACCCGAGGGAUAGACGGUGCUUGAGCGGACGGAGCGCCACUGUACCGCGGGCUUGGCUGGCUUCACCAGGGGAAUACCUGGAGACGGAAGCGCAGACGCAGCACACAGAACCGGCGCACACCGGGACACGCAGGGGUCUCAGAGCUGAGCCCGCGGCCACUGGAGAGUUCAGAGGGCGCCGGCAGCUGAAGCCGCCUCUCCCUUCACCUCACCCCCAGGGGAAUAUCCGCUUACUGAGGCCCCGGGGACCGCACGGCCCCGUGAUGAUGUGACCAUGCUGAGCGUGCCCGGACCUGGAGCAGCCAUGAGCGGCCGAGAAGAGCCGGAGCCGGCGGGGAGCGAUGUCAGUGCUGCUGGCCUUGCCCCUCCUGGCCUCGAAAAUGGAGAUAGUCCUGCCGAAAAGCAUCCUUCACACUCAAAGGAGACCGAGAGGGGUCGCAGAGUGACCCUAGUCUGUAGACACCCUCGUUCAAGAGACCACAAGUACAGCGGGAGAACUUCCAAGCAGGAGAGGCAAGAAAACUCCACAUCUAUCCAGCUUGAACACCAAGGAGAAGAUAGCCAAUCCCAGAAUUCUUGCAGCCGUUCAAACAAAUCCUUCUGUCGAUCAUCUGCAGGAACCACAAAGCUAGGUGUUGAUGGAAUCAUUGCUCUUCUUAAAAGCAAAUGUGGCAAUGGUCGUGUCAAUCUACAGCCAGUUGUACGUUUGAUGGAUAUUAUGAAGGACCUUAGCCAACUUUCCAAUGACCUACGAUCCAGCGGUGUUCGUCUUGAUUAUACCAAUGUUAGCCCUCCAUCAGAAAUUGAGGAUGUAGAGCCAGGAUUACAGUACAGCUUCUUUUCUUCUCAGAGCAUUGCAUGUGGGCUUCGAAGCCCAGAAGAAAAGCCUUCAGAUACUGUGGAUACCAAGGAGCCAAGCCCUGUAUCACCCAACCCAGAUUCAAGUGAAUCAGCCAGCUCAAAUGUUCUUAGGGAGUUAGCAGCCCUUGCCUGGAUGGAGCCAGAACCAACAGAAAGUAUGCAGGGAGGUGAACAGCAAGAGUUAGGCAGUCAAAGUUGGGAGGAAGAUGCAAAUAAAAAGCAGAUUGGGCCCAAAAAUGAAAAUAAAGAUGAUUCAUCAGGGGAUGAGCAGGGCUAUGCUAGGCAAGAAGACAUGGAGGAAUCUGGGGAGGAGCAGGAAGAAAAUACACGGGAAGAGGAGUCUUGUGAAGAGCAAGAGCCAAGUAAGCAGGCAGAGAGUUUUAGGCAAGAUGAAAGGGAGCGAAAACGUUCAGAAGAAUCAUCAGGUGAAGAACAGGAAGAAAUUAAACAGGAAGAGGAGUCAGGGGAGGAUCAGAUUGAUAGUAAACCUGAAGAGUCAUCAGAUGAGCAGGAAGAUGAAUUGGGAAUGAAAAUGAUAAAGGAGGAUGAGGAGAUAAAACCUGAAGGGGAACAGGGUAAUACACAUGCAAAUCAGGAAAGAAAGUUAAGUGGUAAAGAUGAUGAGAGGACAGAAAAUGAGGAUGAAGGGGAGUCAUCAGAUGAUGAAAGUAGGGCUGAGCAGUGUAGAAAAAGAUUAGAGAAAUACAAAGAAAGGGAGGUAAUAGCAGAGCCAAGAAUGGAAGAGAUGCCCUGGAUGCUACCUCUUUUUUCUCAAACAUCAGAAACUCUCAGACGAACCCCUUUUUCAACUCGUGGAGGCCACAGGUUUGGUCUCAGAGGCCGCAGGGGUGACAGACCUGGCAGGGGCCGGAGGAGAAGACCUGGAAGACCUCGAGCAUCUGAAAGUCUUUCUCGUGCAUAUGUUAUGCCUCCUUACCACCGAACACCAGAGGAGCCUAGAGCAUAUCGACCUCAUGAGCAGAGCUCAGUAUUCCCCAUUCCUACUCCUAAUCAGAAAACUGCUACAGUUGACAUGAAUGAGGGGCAGGGCCCUCCACAGAAACCGAAACGAAGAGGUAUACGCAAGAUGGUAGUGCGGAUUGCCAGAAUCCCUAUGCCAAUGGGUAGGAGAAAUAAAACAAGCUAUAAAGUAUCUUCAUUCAGUAGCACACUCAGUGUUGAAGGAGGAGAACUGAUUGGUGGUAAUGGCCCUGGUCCCACCUCUCUACUUAAGAUGAAAAACAAUGGCCGAAAUGUUGUAAUGGUUUUCCCACCUGGUGAGCUUCCAAUCAUACUAAAGAGGAGAAGAGGGCGGCCACCUAAAAACCUAGUCCUGGCUAGAGACACCCCACCAAUGCUGCCUCAGACCCCUCCUAUUGAACCAUCUUUACCACCUCCACCAACUCCCCAGCAACCCCAACCACUAUCUGAUGGGGAAUUUGUAAAGAAGAGAAGGAGAAGAAAGCAAAAAUUGCCAUCUCCUCAACCUUCCUAUGUAGCUGACACCAAUGACAGCAAGUCUGAAUACAGUGAUGUCCUGGCAAAGCUUGCUUUUCUGAACCGCCAGAAUCAAGGAGCUGGACGUACUUCACCACCUCGUUGUUGGACACCUACCCUGCCUGACUCAGUCCAUCAGGCUCCUGAAACUCAUAACAUCUCUCAAUUUCUACACAGAGUCCAGGGUUAUCGAAGGAGAGGUGGGCGUGGUGGUGGGCCUGGCCGUCGCGGUGGGUGCAAUAGUCAUAAUGCAGAACUAUCUCGGUGUUCAUUUAGUGACUUUUUUGAAGGUAUUGGAAAGAAAAAAUCAAAGCCAAGAGCUGUUGACCCCUUAAAGCCAAGAAAACGUAGACAACCUAAGGUUGAACCAGAUCCUAAUGCUAAGCCCAAACGCAAGAGAAGAUCUAGAAAAAAUGGUGCUUUGCUGGGUGAAAUAGGAGGAGAACCUGGUUUAGGGUAUCAAGGCAUGUCAGAAUGGGGAAGUGAAGGGAAAAGUGGGCCUUGGAUGACACAGGUUUCCCAUGGACAGUCAAGUGGCAGACACUGUAAUUACCAAGGACCUGAGCACAGAGGAUUUUCUUCUUUGCAUAGUGGAUCACCAUCACGUCCAGGUUACUAUACUGGAACAGGCUCCUCUUUGUCUCAGGCUGAAAGUGGAGGACAGGAUCACCAUGGUCUCUUUACUGGCUAUUUCCGAUCUCUGUUGGACUCAGACGAUUCCUCAGACCUUGUGGAUUUCGCUUCUGUUCAGAAACAAGAAGCUAGAAAAUCUGCAUCUGCAUUUUCUGGCUCAUCAGCUUCUCCAAACCCAAGGGCCCUUCAGUCCUAUUCCAAUUCUCGGGGUGCAAAAUCUGGUACCCAAGACUCACCAUACCAAAGUUCAACAGCUACCAGGCAACCAUUCCCUCCAAACCGAGGAAAUGCAAAUUUUGGCUGCCUUUCCCAACAGGAAUGCCGUGGGUCAGAUGCCUUUCAAAAGCUGCUGUCACGUUCGCCCAACUCCCAAAGUGCUGGAGGCUUUGGCCAAUUUGGAGGCUUUUCUGCAUCAAGUGGACAGAAUUUGCCUGGUCACAGUAUAUUUGCACCAACCAAACAGUAUCCAGCUCCUCCUGACUGUUUAGGUAAUAAGGACUGCAGCUUUUCCUUUAGUGGUGGAGGCAAUAGCCUUCCGUCAUCACCAGGCAGUGCCCAUAGUAGCACAAGUUUCAGCCAGCAACAACAGCUAUCAGCAGGGACAGGUCCUAACACAGCUAAAACUCCUUUUUUCAACACAUCAGAGUUGCCACCAUUCCCACCACUUAGGAGUGAAAGUCGUUCAAGCACCUCUUCACCAGCUGGGUAUAUGAUGCCCAAAGUAUCUGGUCCAUUGUUUCCUGGUGAGAACAACCGCAACUUUACAGGAUCUGUAGGUGUAGGUCAGUGGGGAUUUCGACAAGGUUAUGGCCAGUCAGAUUGGGGAAAUGAGAGUUUUGGUCAGCUUUAUGGCCCAGGGUUUGAUUGUCACAUGACUGAAUCCAAUGUUAUCUUGGACAUAAGCAAUUAUACACCACAGAAGGCCAAGCAAAAUACUGACAACAUGUCAGAGUCGUCCUCUGACAGCACACAAUACACGCAACCUGGUGCUGGUUAUCGUAGGGCCAAUAGUGAAGCCUCCUCCAGUGAAGGUCAGUCAAGUCUCUCCAGCCUUGAAAAGCUUAUGAUGGACUGGAAUGACACCUCAUCUGCACCAGGAUAUAGUUGGAACCAGACUGUCCUGUUUCACCAAUCUGCAAAACCUGGUAGAGGACGCAGGAAGAAAACAGAUGUUUUUGAACAAUCGCACCAACAACACCAUCACCUAGGCUUCUCAUCAUCCUCCCCAUCUUCUUCCUCAUCAUCAGCUGCUGCUCCACCAGCAGGUUAUCCAACCAAGAGAGGUGGUGGCCCCAGGGGUCCAAGAGGAGGACGAGGUGGUAGCUGUGCAGCCAGCAAGAAAGAAAGAGGUUCAGGCAAAGCCAAAUUUUCCCCCAAACCACCUGCUCCACCACCUACUUCCUCAGUCAGUUCCCUCUUUCAGGACACCUCAGACUUAGGGCUGGACUGCUAUAGUGGGGACAGCAGCAUGUCUCCUCUGCCCUCCCACUCGCGGGCGUAUGGGGUGGGUGAGAGGGAGCCUACGUGUGAUUUCUCUGGACCUUAUUCCAUGAACCCAUCUACCCCUUCUGAUGGCACAUUUGGCUUCCAGAGUGACUCUCCUGGGCUGGGCCCUCCGUCAACAGAACUUGAUCCUGGUAAACACUUUCCCCAUCUCCCUACAGUUGGCAACACCAGUACUGGUGCACCUCAUCCACCACCACCCCCACCACCACCUGGCCUGGGAUAUGAUCACCCACUACAAGACUCUCCUUUUUCCCCCAAUUGCUCACCUACUCUAGAGCUACGGCCGGGAGAAGGAAGAAAGCUUGUGCCGCCUCCCCACUCAUCUUGCGAUCCCCUGAAACAUAGCCUCCCUCCACACUUGCCCUCCUGUAGGGAGCAACUGCCCCCCCAGCCAUCAACACACCACCGCUAUGACCCUCCCAGCUGCAAGAAUGCUGGUUACUGGUACCCACCCCGCAGUCCCCCCUAUGAUGGAAAGGGUGGGUUACUUUCAGACUUUAUGGGUAGGCGGGGAGAGGGAGUAUCUUGCCUGAGCCCCCACAUCCCAAGCCCCAAAAGAGACAAAGAGACGCUGGACAUGGUAAGGGGACACCAUAGAUCAUCAUACCCUUGCCCUUUGCUCAACGAUAUUACCCAUUCCCCUGUGCAAAGAGACUCAAUGGUGCAGCUCCAGGAUUCCUAUCGUUACCCAGCCUUUCCCCCCCAGGGUCCCCCAGUCCUGUCUCCCCCGAAUCUGAAGGGUGGCUUCCUGGGACCUGAGAACAUCCCAGAAGACAACUUCACAGUCACAUCCCUCUAGGGGGAGUGGCACGUCCAGAGUCAUCAGGAGCAGUGCAGUCAAAGGGGUGAGCUGAAACCAUUCCCCUCUACUGAAGCCAGAAGAAACGCCGUGGGAUCCCCUUCGGAGGCUGCACCACCUACAUCCUGAGUGCACUCCCUCUCUCCUCCUUGAGCUCUGGAACCUCCUCCCCUCCAGUUCUCCCCUGACAAGAAAUUUGUGUUUUUUGUUAAUUUUUUUUUUUCUCGUUUUACUUUCUUCACAAAACCAGCAAAAAUUGUACAUAAGAAAUUUUUUUAAAUGUUUCAAAAUGUAAAAUAAGAUGAAUUAUGGGUAAUGGGGAGUAUGUGAGUUAGAGGUAGGAAAUUUGACUGGGUGGAAAAUCUGAUCUUAUUUCUAUAUGAUUUGAGUUGCCUGCAGUGCACUGGCACCUCUGUCAUGGAGAUGGUUAAGCAGUCCAGUCCCUUUCUCACAUACCCCCAGUCCUGCACCACCACCCUGUGUCCCCCAUCUACCGGCUGCACUGAAAUUGCGUAUGUUAAAAGCCCUACCACCACCCUCGGCGGUUAAAACUAUUUAUUGUAAAUAAGGAUUUCUCAUAAAUUGUGUAUUGUCCAAAA